CUUCAGGUUUGUCACUUGGAAUGAGAGCAAUUUAAAUAAAUCAUCGAGUAACAAUUGGAGGGCAAGUCUGGUGCCAGCAGCCGCGGUAAUUCCGGCUCCAAUAGCGUAUACUAAUAUUGCUGCAGUUAAAAAGCUCGUAGUUGAAUUUCUGGUGACACGGUCUGGCCGGUUACUUAACUGUGACUUGUGCCAUCGCCUUGUUGCCAUCUUUUGGUUUAACCAAUCUGGCAUUAGGUUGUCGGGUUGGUGAUACCAAUCGUUUACUGUGAAGAAAUUAGAGUGUUCAAAGCAGGCUUAUGCCGUUGAAUAUUUUAGCAUGGAAUAAUAAGAUAGGACUUUGGUGCUAUUUUGUUGGUUUGCGCACUAGAGUAAUGAUUAAUAGGGACAGUUGGGGAUAUUUGUACUAGGGAAUUAGAGGUGAAAUUCUUGGAUUUCCUUAUGACAAACGACUGCGAAAGCAUUUAUCAGGGAUGUUUUCAUUAAUCAAGAACGAAAGUUAGGGGAUCGAAGAUGAUUAGAUACCAUCGUAGUCUUAACCAUAAACUAUGCCGACUAGGGAUGGGCGGAGAUCUACUACGACUCCGUCCGCACCUGAUGAAAAAUCACAAGUCAUUGGGCUCCGGGGGGAGUAUGUUCGCAAGGAUGAAACUUAAAGGAAUUGACGGAAGGGCACCACCAGGAGCAGCCUGCGGCUUAAUUUGACCCAACACGGGAAAACUUACCAGAUCAAGACAUAUGGGAAGAUUGACAGAUUGAGAGCUCUUUCUUGAUUCUAUGGGUGGUGGUGCAUGGCCGCUCUUAGUUGGUGGAGUGAUUUGUCUGGUUAAUUCCGUUAACGAACGAGACCCCCGCCUGCUAAAUAGAUUGGUGAAUGGUUAUACCAUUGACUGAAUCUUCUUAGAGGGACUCCUCGUUUCAAACGAGGGGAAGCUGGGGGCAAUAACAGGUCUGUGAUGCCCUUAGAUGUUCUGGGCCGCACGCGUGCUACACUGAUGCGUGCAUCGAGUAUAUAACCUUGUCCGAGAGGAUUGGGUAAUCUUUUAACGCGCAUCGUGAUAGGGAUAGAUUAUUGCAAUUUUUAAUCUUGAACGAGGAAUUCCUAGUAAACGCAGUUCAUCAAACUGCAUUGAUUACGUCCCUGCCCUUUGUACACACCGCCCGUCGCACCUACCGAUUGAGUGGUCCGGUGAAGCCUCGGGAUUGCCGUUUACUUCUUCGGAUGCAGACAGCAAGAACUUGUCUAAACCUUAUCACUUAGAGGAAGGUGAAGUCGU
rnacentral:rRNA from 1 species